CCACCACUUUUUAAUUAUUAUUCCUCCAAUCUUACUUUAAUUUUCUCCAAUUACCUUGCCAUUUUAUUAAUGUCGAAUCCUUGAAAAAAAACAGACUUACAAUUAUUUAAGCACUAAUAAUUCUAAAUGGGAAUUAUCCUGAUAUGAGUUUACAAGGAGCCGUAAUCUUCAUUAGAUGAAUGACUAAAUCAUUUUCGAAUUUUCCUGACAAAUUAAUCCUAAACAAACAUGUAAGCAAGACUCAACAAAUGACUCAAUUUUAGAAAAGAAAGACGCUAGUGUCGACCAAAAAAAAUUAAAAUUUGACUCGGCUAAAACCGAAAGUGGGAGAGAUGGUGGUCGUCGGCCAUUGUUUGUGCAAGGUGAUCAGACUUUCGCAGUGCCGUUAUUUUCCUAUGUUGAUGGGCAGGCCCCCAAAGGCUGGUCUGCCUAUGCAUCACCUACUCCGUUAGCGGUGAGCUUCUUUGUCGACUUCGAUCCAACAGAGCAGAACACAUGCUCCCAUGGAGGAGGUGUCGGUACGAGAUCCGCCCUAGUCAUCUCCUCCUUCUCGCUGUUAUCGAGGGUGAGGUCCUCAAUUUCCUUCGCCACAGCAGUAGUGGCUGGCACCAUGGUUAUCAGGCGUGGUAUAGUGAUCAGCGUGUGGUGAUUGCGUGGUUGUCGGUUGAUUGAUGGAUAAACUUCAAAGGGCAAUGGCAGAACCAGUUCUCAUAUCAGAAAAGACAAAAGACAGAUUGCGGUGAUUAUAUCAAUGGUGGCAGGGUGAUUGAUCGAGGUUGGCUGAUCGGGCUAUGGUGGCGGUGAGGAUGGCGGAUCGGGCUAUGGUGGCGGUGAGGAUGACUUGGGCGUAUAGGAGGUUGCCGCGGAGAGUGAUGGAGCAGAGGAUGGCGGAGGCGGGGAGGAUAAGGCGGAGGAAUUUCAUAAGCCGCCGGUGAGAAAUGGUUGGAAUUUCAUUGAGGGAAGUGA
rnacentral:lncRNA from 1 species